rnacentral:rRNA from 1 species
CGUAGGUGAACCAGCGGAGGGAUCAUUACCGAGUUUACAACUCCCAAACCCAAUGUGAACGUUACCAAACUGUUGCCUCGGCGGGGUCACGCCCCGGGUGCGUCGCAGCCCCGGAACCAGGCGCCCGCCGGAGGAACCAACCAAACUCUUUCUGUAGUCCCCUCGCGGACGUAUUUCUUACAGCUCUGAGCAAAAAUUCAAAAUGAAUCAAAACUUUCAACAACGGAUCUCUUGGUUCUGGCAUCGAUGAAGAACGCAGCGAAAUGCGAUAAGUAAUGUGAAUUGCAGAAUUCAGUGAAUCAUCGAAUCUUUGAACGCACAUUGCGCCCGCCAGUAUUCUGGCGGGCAUGCCUGUCCGAGCGUCAUUUCAACCCUCGAACCCCUCCGGGGGAUCGGCGUUGGGGAUCGGGACCCCUCACACGGGUGCCGGCCCCGAAAUACAGUGGCGGUCUCGCCGCAGCCUCUCCUGCGCAGUAGUUUGCACAACUCGCACCGGGAGCGCGGCGCGUCCACGUCCGUAAAACACCCAACUUUCUGAAAUGUUGACCUCGGAUCAGGUAGGAAUACCCGCUGAACUUAAGCAUAUCAAUAAGCGGAGGAAAAGAAACCAACAGGGAUUGCCCCAGUAACU